UACGAAGGGGGCUAGCGUUGCUCGGAAUUACUGGGCGUAAAGCGCACGUAGGCGGCCUUGUAAGUUAGAGGUGAAAGCCCGGAGCUCAACUCCGGAACUGCCUUUAAGACUGCAUCGCUUGAAUCCAGGAGAGGUGAGUGGAAUUCCGAGUGUAGAGGUGAAAUUCGUAGAUAUUCGGAAGAACACCAGUGGCGAAGGCGGCUCACUGGACUGGUAUUGACGCUGAGGUGCGAAAGCGUGGGGAGCAAACAGG
rnacentral:rRNA from 1 species